GACACAGAUCUGCUGCUCAGUGAAGGCUACUUUCCUGAAAAAAGGAGUGAAUGAAUGCUCUGCAAAUUCAUGGCUGCGGUGACUCCUCUCUCACUGUUGCACCAUAGAAAGCAAAAUGGAGUCAUUCCUGUUAAGCAGGAGCCUGUGUCAAGCAAUGACACCAGUAGUUAAAGGUACAGGACCUGGGAGAGAUCUCUGGGACCAGCAUCAUCUGAUAGCCCAGAACUGGUAACAAGCAGAACCAGAAGACACCUGCAGGGUCCCAAGACCAAUUAAAUGCCUUCAAAAAGGGGAGGAUUUUUGCAGCAAACAGACUCUUCAGGCAUGACCUCUCUAUGUGUGACCACUUAAAAAAGGCAACUGCCACCAAAGUCUUGGUCAGUUUGAUCUCUGAACAGAACUGAGAUCCUUCACGACAUGAACAUAAUAAACAGUAAGUGCUGAAAGCUGACCUGGAUCAGACUGAGGCCUUAUCUCAACUGUGCACCCACAGACUGACUUUGUGUUUGUUCCUUAACUUCCUACACCUUUCCGUAAUCCUGUUUGUUGUAUGGUUUAUCUUCUGUCCUGCUCUAUGUGCUAAGAAGCCAAGUUUAAUCACAUGGUGAAAUGUCAUUGAAUUUGGAAUCCUGGACCUGCUUUAUAAUUGUGAUUAACUUUGCUUUAUGAUUGAAUAAAGCUGACUUUGUGAAAAGACA